CUGCAGAUUGGGCACUGUAUGCUUCAGAUACAUUUGUGCUGAUUCAUUUCAGCUGGAGGCAUUCUCGCAACGAGUCGGUACAUGCGAAUCUCGAUAAAGACGAGCCCGAUCCCACUCCUCAGACCCUAAAGCUAUUUGCUGAAAGAUUGAUUGCAUAUCUCACGCUUCUCCCCUCCGUCAAGACUGUGUGCGGUUACUUUAUCUCCUUCACCUCAAAGUGGGAGCAUCACACCGGCCGAAGCAUCCCAAAGGCCGUGAAGUCAACUGGUCAGUAGCUGCAUUCGAGAGGGCCUGCCAAUAUGCUCUGCGAACCUUCAGAAUGGCCGGUUUCUCGAGACGAAAUGUCCUAUGAAAGAAAGU
rnacentral:sRNA from 1 species